rnacentral:rRNA from 1 species
AUUGAACGCUGGCGGCAGGCCUAACACAUGCAAGUCGAGCGAGCGGCGGACGGGUGAGUAAUGUAUGGGGAGCUGCCCGAUAGAGGGGGAUAACUACUGGAAACGGUGGCUAAUACCGCAUACUAUCAGAUGAACCCAUAUGGGAUUAGCUAGUAGGUGGGGUAAAGGCUCACCUAGGCGACGAUCUCUAGCUGGUCUGAGAGGAUGAUCAGCCACACUGGGACUGAGACACGGUCCAGACUCCUACGGGAGGCAGCAGUGGGGAAUAUUGCACAAUGGGCGCAAGCCUGAUGCAGCCAUGCCGCGUGUAUGAAGAAGGCCUUAGGGUUGUAAAGUACUUUCAGCGGGGAGGCGUUACUCGCAGAAGAAGCACCGGCUAACUCCGUGCCAGCAGCCGCGGUAAUUC